CCGGGUCAUCUCGGCCGCCUGGGGGUAGGGUUUUUUUGCAUCGGUGGGAGGAGGAGGAGCGCAUAAACUUCUUUCAGAAGCAAGAUUAAAAGUUCAAAAAGCUUUAAAGUGAUAGCUGGAGCUUCUGCAUAUCACAAACCAUAGCACAACCCUGACUUAUUCCUGUGAGAACUAGAAUAAUCUCACCUGCCUAAAGCACUCCUGUGACUUCACUGAGCAGAGUUUUUCAUAAAUCAGCUGCCUCAGCAUGUACAGGUUCCAGCUGGGACCAACAGAGAAUCGCUGAAAUGUUGUCAGGAAUGCUGAUCCAGGAGUCUCUCUGUCCUGACCUGAAGUUAAUAUAUUCUCAUGAGUGCUCCUCUUCUCAAGAAAUUUUCAGCCUGCUUUGCAGGCCAAAAAGACAAUGAAGAACACUCAGACUUUGGUGUACUUAUAUAAACUUACAGUUUACAAAUUGUUGGAGUGGACAGCUGCUGCAGGCAGGAUCCUUGUUCUUCCAACCAACUCAAAAGUAAAGCUGCUCUUGGCUUAAAAGGGAAGUGCUUUGUCUGCUUGACGUUGUUUCCUCAAUUUCUGUACCCAAGCAUUACAGUGAAUAAGAAGGGAAAUAAGAAGAUACGAAGAGAAAUAAGAAGAUAAUAAUUGAUCUUUUUUCUUUUUCCAUCAAAGACCAUUGAGAAAAAAGUCUUGCCUAUCACAAAAGCAACCAGAACUUUUCAGUUUGGACAGUGAGACUCAGGUGUGGGUUAUUAAAGUCUCCAUACUCUAGAGCUACAUGUAUAUACAGAGACUCAAUGCUGAGAGCCAAAAGUUGGUGAAAGCAUAUAGGAUUCCAGUAGCUGCCCUCCUGUUAAACUCUACCCUGUGUUUACAGAGGAUAAUGCUACCAAUGAUGUGUGUAUUUAUUCUUUGUGUUGGGAAAGUGUUGCCACUUCCAUUGAACGACUUUCUAAUGGUUCCCUACUUAGAAUGCUGUGCUGGAGAAGGAGCUAAAAUACAUAGAAUAAGUCCUUGCUUUAUGUUAAAGUUGCAAACCUUCCACUCAACAUCCUUGAUCAGCCAGAGUUUCCUGUGAAAUGACUACAGCCAGGGACCUCCCGUGGUUUCCCCACUAUUUCUGGUGGACCCCGAAGGAUGCCAGUUCCCGGCACGCAAUGCUUUUAACGUGUUUGGUGCAUGUUAUUUCGAUCUAGUUCAAAUUCCGUAAUUAGCGCCCAGGCUUGUCCGUGCAAGCCAGUGCUGCGGAGGAGCCUGUCGCGACCGCCGGCCCGCACGGAGCGCCGCUCGGCCCCGGCGCUGCCCUGCCCGGCUGCCGGGGACCCCUCGGGCCCGGCACCGCCACCCAGCCCCGGGCUCUGCGCACACGGCCCGCGGCCGGGGAGGGGCAGCCCGGCGGGGAGGGCAGCCCGCUCACCCCGCUGCUGUGGCAACGGGCCGGGAAUGCCUCUGGCUCAGCCAUCCCGGGCCCCGCUCCGGAGCGCCUGCUCUGCAGACAGCUCCAUUGUCUGCCGGACAGUUGCCUUUCCAUCGGCUUCCAGCGGAAUAGCCUCUUCCCGAAGACAAAAGGCUCGGCACAAAGAGACUGAACAGGCCUAAAAGUUUAAAGGGGAAAAAGAUCCCCUUAAUUUAUGUCUUAACUGUAGGGGAGAGAGGAGAAAAAUAAUUCUGGCUUCUCCUAAGGGAUAGUUCGUGAAGGAGGAGAGGGGUCAUAACUAGGUUUUGUUGGGAUUUGAUAAUUGCUUCCUGAUGCAUCCUGAAACUAUUUGCAAGGAGACCGGCUCGCCCACAGGACUGUGGCAUGGUUUUUAUCCCUGCACAGUCAGGCUGCUGCCAUCUGACAGCUGUUCAGAUCGUGUAAUGAGAGAUCUGAGUUUCAAUUUGCUUCAUGCGUGAACCAAUUUUCAUAUCCAAAAUCAUCAGCAGAGCUGACCCCAAGAAACAGUUUUGUUCAGAUCCAGCUCAGAGAGCUCAAGUGCAGAUUUGCCAAGUGUCAAUAGAUACCUUGUUUUCUAGAGCUUCCCCCUUAUGUUGUGGUGUGGUGAUGAUGGAGAAAUUUAGGGGGGAGGAUACUGCUGAGUUAGUAAAUACAGGAUUUAAUCUUGCAAGCUGUCAGCAUUUCUAGAGCCUUAAAAUUCUGGUUCAAAUAAACACACUCCCAGUACAUUCUCUUUUCUUGUCUCAAGCAGAAACAUGCUUUCAUUAAGCCAAUGUGAAGGCAGAAUUCUUCUUCAUGACUUCAAGUGCUCAUAUGUGUGUUUCUGAACAAAGGCUACAAGAAAUGCCAUUCCACGUGAGAAGUUAAAUUCAAACCUUAGCAUAGGGUGCAUAUCCUUGUCCACAUGACUGGCCUUUUUGUUUCCACCAUUUGACCUUGAUGUGGCCUAGAUGAGCGGUACAAAUCUGCAAACUGGAGAGAUGCAGUGCAAAAGAUCAGAAUACAUUACAUUCCUAAAUGCCUUUAGAUAUUUUUUCUAGACUUAGUAACCUAGUGGAAGUCCGCUGGUGGUACUUUCUCAUCUGACAGCUAUUUCUGACACUUUAUAUAAGUAUUUUAUCCACCGUAUCCAAAUAGAUCAGUGGACAAAAAACAUUUCUCCCACCCCCAUUUUCAUAACAUACUGAAACAAUUUCGCAGCAUUAUCUCAUGAAGAAAAAAAAUCUCUUCCUAGGACAUGAUCACCUUAGUUCUUGAAAUGUUAGAAUAGACUGCUCACAAGUGAACUGAGCAGUAAUUCUUGUCCAUAGCAAUGUUGUUCUUCUUAGGUAACUCCUGUCAAAUUUCCUCCACCAAUCAGUGCCACUAUGUGAGAUACUGCUUUGGGGUAUUUUAAUUACUCGUUACGUGUUGCCCAUUUAUCUGUUGAAUGUUCAUUGAUCUUUUGUAGAAAUACAUUAAAAUAGAUAUUUUACAAUUUGA